CUGUUCUAUUAUCACCGAAAAAAACUUCUGCAAAAAUGGGAAAAAGAAAACAAAUCGGCCGAACACACAGGUAAUAUAAAUAACAGAUUGUUUUCUUUAUAAAACCUAGCGCUCUAGCUACUGUUUUCAGAAAAUCAACAAACACAUCAAUGCAACAAUGUUCCGACAAAGAGAGAAAUUGGUGUAGAUCCGGGACCACUGUUAGAAGAAGCUACAUUUGAUAAUGAUGGCAGCGAAUCAGAGGAUUGUUGGCCCAUUGAUGACGAUUCUUCCGAUGAGUCAUCUUCAUCGAUCGCAGGAGACCAAAACAAUGACGUUUUGGACCAAAUGGAUCUGAGCGAGUGCAUCAGAUAUUGGGCACUUAAAACCAAUCAGUCCCACGAAUCCAUAAACUUAAUUAUGGAUAUAAUCAGGAGAAAAACAAAUGGGAAAAGGUUGCCGCGCUCCGCAAGAACGUUAUUAAAAACAUCAAGACAAGCAACCUCCGAAAUUGUCCAAGUCGCUGGAGGACAAUUUUGGUACAAAGGAAUCAAGCAAUGUCUAUAUGAAUAUUUUCGGCAUACAGAACAAUCACUGGACUUAUCGAUUAACAUCAACAUUGAUGGAAUUCCUCUGUACAAAAGCAGCAAAUUACAGUUUUGGCCAAUUCUGAUGAACAUCUCCGAAAUGCCAGAAAUAGCACCGAUGGUAAUUGCAAUUUUUAAUGGUAAAAGCAAGCCAAGUAGCCUUGACGAUUUUCUUAAACAAAUGGUUGAUGAGCUCAUUGAUGUGCUGAAACAUGGAAUAAUCAUCAACGGUUGCCAAAUUAAUCUAAAACUAAGGUGUUUUAUCUGCGACUCACCGGCUCGUGCGUUUCUAAAAGGUACCCAAGUAACCACGAAGCCGUAUAUAAGUGCACCAAUUUUGCCAUAUAUUUAUAAUUAAAAUUGUGAAUAUAAUGCUGCAUUACUUUAAACACCUCAUUAAAGUAAUAUUAAAGUCGAAAAGGGCCCCACUAAAAUCCAAUUAGUGCCACAUAUUGCAGCACGCUGACAGCCAUUGCUAAAGUAACAUAAAUGCAUGUGCUGUACAUUUGCAUUUGCACAUGCUUGAUACGUGCAACUAGAAAAACCAAAACAAAAAUCUAUUUUUAGCACCGGUUUCGUUAUCGACGGUACUGAUGCCCACGUGAAUGUUUUGACCAUUAUUUUUUUGUCGCCGGGUCGGGAGUCGAACCAGAAGUGUUGAAGACCGCUAGAUGAGUUCCAUACG